GAUGAACGCUGGCGGCGUGCCUAAUACAUGCAAGUCGAGCGAACAGACGAGGAGCUUGCUCCUCUGACGUUAGCGGCGGACGGGUGAGUAACACGUGGAUAACCUACCUAUAAGACUGGGAUAACUUCGGGAAACCGGAGCUAAUACUGGAUAAUCUAUUGAACCGCAUGGUUCAAUAGUGAAAGACGGUUUUGCUGUCACUUAUAGAUGGAUCCGCGCCGCAUUAGCUAGUUGGUAAGGUAACGGCUUACCAAGGCAACGAUGCAUAGCCGACCUGAGAGGGUGAUCGGCCACACUGGAACUGAGACACGGUCCAGACUCCUACGGGAGGCAGCAGUAGGGAAUCUUCCGCAAUGGGCGAAAGCCUGACGGAGCAACGCCGCGUGAGUGAUGAAGGUCUUCGGAUCGUAAAACUCUGUUAUUAGGGAAGAACAAAUGUGUAAGUAACUAUGCACGUCUUGACGGUACCUAAUCAGAAAGCCACGGCUAACUACGUG
rnacentral:rRNA from 1 species